rnacentral:snRNA from 1 species
AGAUUUAAAGAGACAAUCUGACG